rnacentral:rRNA from 1 species
GGGUUGUGAGGUUAAGCGACUAAGCGUACACGGUGGAUGCCCUGGCAGUCAGAGGCGAUGAAGGACGUGCUAAUCUGCGAAAAGCGCCGGCGAGGUGAUAUGAACCUUUGACCCGGCGAUGUCCGAAUGGGGAAACCCAGUGUGAUCCGUCACACUAUCAUUAACUGAAUCCAUAGGUUAAUGAGGCGAACCGGGGGAACUGAAACAUCUAAGUACCCCGAGGAAAAGAAAUCAACCGAGAUUCCCCCAGUAGCGGCGAGCGAACGGGGAGCAGCCCAGAGCCUGAAUCAGCUUGUGUGUUAGUGGAAGCGUCUGGAAAGUCGCGCGAUACAGGGUGACAGCCCCGUACACGAAAGCACACAGGCUGUGAGCUCGAUGAGUAGGGCGGGACACGUGGUAUCCUGUCUGAAUAUGGGGGGACCAUCCUCCAAGGCUAAAUACUCCUGACUGACCGAUAGUGAACCAGUACCGUGAGGGAAAGGCGAAAAGAACCCCGGCGAGGGGAGUGAAAAAGAACCUGAAACCGUGUACGUACAAGCAGUGGGAGCCUCUUUAAUGGGGUGACUGCGUACCUUUUGUAUAAUGGGUCAGCGACUUAUAUUCUGUAGCAAGGUUAACCGAAUAGGGGAGCCGAAGGGAAACCGAGUCUUAACUGGGCGUUAAGUUGCAGGGUAUAGACCCGAAACCCGGUGAUCUAGCCAUGGGCAGGUUGAAGGUUGGGUAACACUAACUGGAGGACCGAACCGACUAAUGUUGAAAAAUUAGCGGAUGACUUGUGGCUGGGGGUGAAAGGCCAAUCAAACCGGGAGAUAGCUGGUUCUCCCCGAAAGCUAUUUAGGUAGCGCCUCGUGAAUUCAUCUCCGGGGGUAGAGCACUGUUUCGGCUAGGGGGCCAUCCCGGCUUACCAACCCGAUGCAAACUACGAAUACCGGAGAAUGUUAUCACGGGAGACACACGGCGGGUGCUAACGUCCGUCGUGAAGAGGGAAACAACCCAGACCGCCAGCUAAGGUCCCAAAGUCAUGGUUAAGUGGGAAACGAUGUGGGAAGGCACAGACAGCCAGGAUGUUGGCUUAGAAGCAGCCAUCAUUUAAAGAAAGCGUAAUAGCUCACUGGUCGAGUCGGCCUGCGCGGAAGAUGUAACGGGGCUAAACCAUGCACCGAAGCUGCGGCAGCGACACUUAAGUGUUGUUGGGUAGGGGAGCGUUCUGUAAGCCUGCGAAGGUGUGCUGUGAGGCAUGCUGGAGGUAUCAGAAGUGCGAAUGCUGACAUAAGUAACGAUAAAGCGGGUGAAAAGCCCGCUCGCCGGAAGACCAAGGGUUCCUGUCCAACGUUAAUCGGGGCAGGGUGAGUCGACCCCUAAGGCGAGGCCGAAAGGCGUAGUCGAUGGGAAACAGGUUAAUAUUCCUGUACUUGGUGUUACUGCGAAGGGGGGACGGAGAAGGCUAUGUUAGCCGGGCGACGGUUGUCCCGGUUUAAGCAUGUAGGCUGGUUAUCCAGGCAAAUCCGGAUAAUCAAGGCUGAGGUGUGAUGACGAGUCACUACGGUGAUGAAGUAACAAAUGCCCUGCUUCCAGGAAAAGCCUCUAAGCAUCAGGUAACACGAAAUCGUACCCCAAACCGACACAGGUGGUCAGGUAGAGAAUACCAAGGCGCUUGAGAGAACUCGGGUGAAGGAACUAGGCAAAAUGGUGCCGUAACUUCGGGAGAAGGCACGCUGAUAUGUAGGUGAAGCCCCUGCGGGCGGAGCUGAAAUCAGUCGAAGAUACCAGCUGGCUGCAACUGUUUAUUAAAAACACAGCACUGUGCAAACACGAAAGUGGACGUAUACGGUGUGACGCCUGCCCGGUGCCGGAAGGUUAAUUGAUGGGGUUAUCCGUAAGGAGAAGCUCUUGAUCGAAGCCCCGGUAAACGGCGGCCGUAACUAUAACGGUCCUAAGGUAGCGAAAUUCCUUGUCGGGUAAGUUCCGACCUGCACGAAUGGCGUAAUGAUGGCCAGGCUGUCUCCACCCGAGACUCAGUGAAAUUGAACUCGCUGUGAAGAUGCAGUGUACCCGCGGCAAGACGGAAAGACCCCGUGAACCUUUACUAUAGCUUGACACUGAACAUUGAGCCUUGAUGUGUAGGAUAGGUGGGAGGCUUUGAAGCGUGGACGCCAGUCUGCGUGGAGCCAACCUUGAAAUACCACCCUUUAAUGUUUGAUGUUCUAACGUGGACCCGUGAUCCGGGUUGCGGACAGUGUCUGGUGGGUAGUUUGACUGGGGCGGUCUCCUCCCAAAGAGUAACGGAGGAGCACGAAGGUUGGCUAAUCCUGGUCGGACAUCAGGAGGUUAGUGCAAUGGCAUAAGCCAGCUUGACUGCGAGCGUGACGGCGCGAGCAGGUGCGAAAGCAGGUCAUAGUGAUCCGGUGGUUCUGAAUGGAAGGGCCAUCGCUCAACGGAUAAAAGGUACUCCGGGGAUAACAGGCUGAUACCGCCCAAGAGUUCAUAUCGACGGCGGUGUUUGGCACCUCGAUGUCGGCUCAUCACAUCCUGGGGCUGAAGUAGGUCCCAAGGGUAUGGCUGUUCGCCAUUUAAAGUGGUACGCGAGCUGGGUUUAGAACGUCGUGAGACAGUUCGGUCCCUAUCUGCCGUGGGCGCUGGAGAAUUGAGGGGGGCUGCUCCUAGUACGAGAGGACCGGAGUGGACGCAUCACUGGUGUUCGGGUUGUCAUGCCAAUGGCACUGCCCGGUAGCUACAUGCGGAAGAGAUAAGUGCUGAAAGCAUCUAAGCACGAAACUUGCCCCGAGAUGAGUUCUCCCCUUGGACUUUAAGUCCACUAAAGGAACGUUGAAGACGACGACGUUGAUAGGCCGGGUGUGUAAGCGCAGCGAUGCGUUGAGCUAACCGGUACUAAUGAACCGUGAGGCUUAACCUUACAACGCCGAAG